rnacentral:rRNA from 1 species
UUUAAUGAGAGUUUGAUCCUGGCUCAGGACGAACGCUGGCGGCGUGCCUAAUACAUGCAAGUAGAACGCUGAGUUUGGUGUUUACACUAGACUGAUGAGUUGCGAACGGGUGAGUAACGCGUAGGUAACCUGCCUCAUAGCGGGGGAUAACUAUUGGAAACGAUAGCUAAUACCGCAUAAGAGUAAUUAACACAUGUUAGUUAUUUAAAAGGAGCAAUUGCUUCACUGUGAGAUGGACCUGCGUUGUAUUAGCU